GAGAGAGAGAGAGAGAGAGCAGUCACCGUUCCUUAUUUUUCAGGUUAUUGUGGUUUAUGCUCCUCCCUCUUUUUACAUGCUCUGGUUUGGCGCGUGUCCUCAACGCUCAUCUUGUCUACUCUUGGCAAUUCAACUUGACCAUAAAAUAAAGUUGCGCACUUCAUUUUAAAAUGAUUUAUUUAAUAAGAAAAAAUUAAAAAAAAUGAAGAUUUAAGGCGCGUGAAGUGGCGGCAGUAAGUGGGGGAUAUUGCGAGUGGCAUGCGGAGCUUGGGCAUCACCGCGCAGCCACGAAAGAAAUCGUACAUAUUUGCCGGAGGAAGAGAAGAGAAGAGAGGAGAGGGAGGCUAAUAAGUAAUAACGUGAAU
rnacentral:misc_RNA from 1 species